AUACGGAGGGUGCGAGCGUUAACCGGAAUUACUGGGCGUAAAGGGUGCGUAGGCGGCUUGAUAAGUCGGAUGUGAAAGCCCCGGGCUUAACCUGGGAAUUGCAUUCGAUACUGUCAGGCUAGAGUAUGUCAGAGGUUGGCGGAAUUCCUGGUGUAGCGGUGAAAUGCGUAGAUAUCAGGAGGAACACCAGUGGCGAAGGCGGCUAACUGGGGCAAUACUGACGCUGAGGCACGAAAGCGUGGGGAGCAAACAGGAUUAGAAACCCUAGUAGUCC
rnacentral:rRNA from 1 species